AGAACUUACAUUUGAAAUUUCAAGUCUCUUACUUCAAAAAACAUAGGACUUUCACACAAACUUCCAACCCCCGUUUUACCCUCUUAGGGGUCGUUUCUCUUAAAAUCCGUUCUUAGCGGAUGUCUACGUCUUAUAAGGAGCCUACCUGCCAAAUUUCAAGUUUUUAAGUGUUAUAGUUUCGGAGAUUUCGUGAUGAGUGAGUGACCUUUCGCUUUUAUAUAUAUUAUAGAUAAAAG
rnacentral:misc_RNA from 1 species